AUCGUACAAAAUGUGAGGGGCAUGCAAGGGCUGUCGCUGACUUCAAAGUCGUGCACGUCCGGGUGUGUCCCCCUCACAUAAUAAUCCACCUCACCCUUUGUGCAUCACCGCGUGGGCACCCUUCGGGAUCGUCUCGGAGGGGGCUCGCGUUUUCACACAAACCCCCCCUUUUAAAAGUGUAGAAUGACCUCAUAUAUGCGCUAAACCCGCAAUCAAUACAACUUUCAACAACGGAUCUCUUGGCUCUCGCAUCGAUGAAGAACGCAGCGAAAUGCGAUACGUAAUGUGAAUUGCAGAAUUCAGUGAAUCAUCGAAUCUUUGAACGCACCUUGCGCCCCUUGGUAUUCCGAGGGGCACACCCGUUUGAGUGUCGUGAAAACCUCAACCUCCUUGGUUUCUUCUGGAGACCAAAGCAGGCUUGGACUUUGGAGGCCUUUGCUGGUGCCUCUCUCUUUUGAAGGCCAGCUCCUCUUAAACAAAUUAGCAGGGUCCUCUUUGCCGAUCCUCGACGUGUGAUAAGAUGUUUCCAUGUCUUGGUUUCUGGCUCUGUCACUUUUGGGACCCGCUUCUAACCGUCUGGACCUUGCGUCGAGACAAUGUUCGAGCGCGUCUCCCUUCUCGGGAAGCUCCCUCGACCCCACGAACCCUUGACCUCAAAUCGGGUGAGACUA
rnacentral:sRNA from 1 species